GAUGAACGCUGGCGGCGUGCCUAAUACAUGCAAGUCGAGCGAACGGACGAGAAGCUUGCUUUUCUGAUGUUAGCGGCGGACGGGUGAGUAACACGUGGAUAACCUACCUAUAAGACUGGGAUAACUUCGGGAAACCGGAGCUAAUACCGGAUAAUAUUUUGAACCGCAUGGUUCAAUAGUGAAAGACGGUCUUGCUGUCACUUAUAGAUGGAUCCGCGCUGCAUUAGCUAGUUGGUAAGGUAACGGCUUACCAAGGCAACGAUGCGUAGCCGACCUGAGAGGGUGAUCGGCCACACUGGAACUGAGACACGGUCCAGACUCCUACGGGAGGCAGCAGUAGGGAAUCUUCCGCAAUGGGCGAAAGCCUGACGGAGCAACGCCGCGUGAGUGAUGAAGGUCUUCGGAUCGUAAAACUCUGUUAUUAGGGAAGAACAUAUGUGUAAGUAACUGUGCACAUCUUGACGGUACCUAAUCAGAAAGCCACGGCUAACUACGUG
rnacentral:rRNA from 1 species